GACGAACGCUGGCGGCGUGCUUAACACAUGCAAGUCGAACGGAAAGGCCCCUUUGGGGGUACUCGAGUGGCGAACGGGUGAGUAACACGUGAGUAACCUGCCCUUGACUUCGGGAUAACUUCAGGAAACUGGGGCUAAUACCGGAUAGGAAUCCUUGCUGCAUGGUGGGGGUUGGAAAGCUUCGGCGGUUUUGGAUGGACUCGCGGCUUAUCAGCUUGUUGGUGGGGUAGUGGCUUACCAAGGCUUUGACGGGUAGCCGGCCUGAGAGGGCGACCGGCCAGCGGGGGACAGAGGGAGGGCGGGGGGGGGUAGGGGGGAGAGCAGGGGGGGCUGUGGAAGAAGGCGCGGAAGCGUAAGGCAGCAGCGCAGCGGGAGCGGCGGAGGACGCGGGGUGGAAAAAGGAAUUCGCCGGAAACGAAGGGGGAGGAAGGGGAAGGGGUAAAGAGGCAAAAACUGGAAACGUG
rnacentral:rRNA from 1 species